CCAAAACUCCCUUGACCAACUUUAUGGGAGAUUAGGUUAACCCAAGCCCAUGUACACCCAUGACUCAACCUAAUCUCACCUAUUCUAGGCCCAGACCUGGCCCAUAAAGAGUUGGUCCCUUGAGGCCCACAUAACCUAGACCUCAAGAACCCGAAAGGCCCACAGCCUUUCUCCUAAGGCCCAACUAGCCCUAGAGCCUCUAUGAAGCUCUCAUGAAUGAUGGACCUUGGCCUUAGCCUUGGUCCCCUGGGCCUUGGGCACACCACCUAGAUCACAACACUACCCUGCUCCACUCUCUGUAACGGAUUUCGCGUGGCUCCACUACUCUCUGGCA
rnacentral:lncRNA from 1 species